AAACCAGCACCUCAAGUGGUCAGGAGGUUUAUUGGGCCUAAAGCAUCCGUAGCCUGAUCUAUAAGUUUCCGGUUAAAUCCAUAUGCUCAACAUAUGGGCUGCCGGAAAAACUGUAGAACUAGGGAGUGGGAGAGGUAGACGGUAUUCGGUAGGAAGGGGUAAAAUCCUUUGAUCUAUCGAGGACCACCUGUGGCGAAGGCGGUCUACCAGAACACGUUCGACGGUGAGGGAUGAAAGCUGGGGGAGCAAACCGGAUUAGAAACCCCGGUAGUCC
rnacentral:rRNA from 1 species